GCAUUUGUAGCUCAGCACAGAGCACCGGUCUUGUAAACCGGAGGCCGGGAGUUAAAUUCUCCCCUCUUGCC
rnacentral:tRNA from 1 species